rnacentral:lncRNA from 1 species
GUCUACCUGAUGUUCUAGAACUUCCUGAUUCUACUACUCGUUAUGACACAAUAAUAAUGACCUUAUCUACUGUGUGUUGCAGUAAGCUGGAAGAGGACAUUCUCUACAUGGCCUAUGCUGACAUUAUGGCUAAGAGCUGUCAUGAUGAAGAGGAUGAGGAUGGAGAGGAGGUGAAGAGUUUUGAAGUAGGUAUCUCCUCUUGAACACCGUCCAGCCCAUUUAACAUUUGCCCAUCCCUCCCCCAGAAGCAUUUUAAAAUGAGGGUGACGUCUUUUAAAAUGGGGGUUAUUUCGUUUCCCAUGGCUUGCAGGCAGCUUUUAAAUGACCCCUGAAGAGAUGGCAGCUAGAGUCUUCUCUGAGUUGAGAUAAUGACCCUUGAAGAGAUGGCACGUAGAGUCUUCUCUCUGAGUUGAGAUAAUGACCCCUGAAGAGAUGGCACGUAUAGUCUUCUCUCUGAGUUGAGAUAAUGACCCCUGAAGAGAUGGCACGUAGAGUCUUCUCUCUGAGUUGAGAUAAUGACCCCUGAAGAGAUGGCACAUAGAGUCUUCUCUCUGAGUUGAGAUAAUGACCCCUGAAGAGAUGGCACAUAGAGUCUUCUCUGAGUUGAGAUAAUGACCCCUGAAGAGAUGGCACAUAGAGUCUUCUCUCUGAUUUGAGAUAAUGACCCCUGAAGAGAUGGCACGUAGAGUCUUCUCUCUGAGUUGAGAUAAUGACACCUGAAGAGAUGGCACGUAGAGUCUACUCUCUGAGUUGAGAUAAUGACCCCUGAAGAGAUGGCACGUAGAGUCUUCUCUCUGAGUUGAGAUAAUGACCCCUGAAGAGAUGGCACGUAGAGUCUUCUCUGAGUUGAGAUAAUGACCCCUGAAGAGAGGGCAGCUAGAGUCUUCUCUGCUGAGUUGAGAUAAUGACCCCUGAAGAGAUGGCACAUAGAGUCUUCUCUGAGUUGAGAUAAUGUCCCCUGAAGAGAUGGCACGUAGAGUGUUCUCUCUGAGUUGAGAUAAUGACCCCUGAAGAGAUGGCAGCUAGAGUCUUCUCUCUGAGUUGAGAUAAUGACCCCUGAAGAGAUGGCACAUAGAGUCUUCUCUCUGAGUUGAGAUAAUGACCCCUGAAGAGAUGGCACAUAGAGUCUUCUCUCUGAGUUGAGAUAAUGACCCCUGAAGAGAUGGCACGUAGAGUCUUCUCUCUGAGUUGAGAUAAUGACCCCUGAAGAGAUGGCACAUAGAGUCUUCUCUCUGAGUUGAGAUAAUGACCCCUGAAGAGAUGGCACAUAGAGUCCACUCUGUUGAGAUAAUGACCCCUGAAGAGAUGGCACGUAGAGUCUUCUCUCUGAGUUGAGAUAAUGACCCCUGAAGAGAUGGCACAUAGAGUCUUCUCUCUGAUUUGAGAUAAUGACCCCUGAAGAGAUGGCAGCUAGAGUCUUCUCUCUGAGUUGAGAUAAUGACCCCUGAAGAGAUGGCACAUAGAGUCUUCUCUGAGUU